GUGCCACUCCCUGACCGGUUCCAGCAAGCCAAGGUCAGCCAUCAGACGUUCCACCAGAAUGCGCCUGGUCUGGUCCGGCAAUUCCAACUCACCCGUGACCAGGCCAAGGCCAUUGUGGCCACAUGUCCCCAGUGCCAAAACCAUCAAAUGCCUGCACUCAGUGCUGGGGCAAAUCCCCAAGGGCUUCAUAGCUGUGAGGUGUGGCAAAUGGACGUCACAAAGAUCCCAGAAUUUGGUAGACUAAGGGAUGUGCAUGUAUCGGUGGACACCUUUUCUGGCACCGUCUAUGCCUCUGCCCACGCAGGGGAGAGGGCAAAGGAUGUAAUCAACCACCUCAUCCAUGCCUUCUCUGUGUUGGGAGUCCCUAAGGUUUUAAAAAUGGACAAUGCUCCCGUGUAUGGAUCCAAGGAGCUCAGGAGCUUCCUACAGCAAUGGGGAGUGGAGCACAUGACCGGCAUCCCCCACUCCCCCACAGGUCAGGCCAUAGUUGAGAGGACCCACCAGAGGCUGAAGAAUAUCCUCGAACACCAACGAGCAGCAAUGAAGGCGGAGUCCCCUCAUAUCCAGCUGGCACAGGCAUUGUUCAUGCACAAUUUUCUGAAUUGUGCGUUUGAGAACCUGAACCCUCCCAUCACCCGGCAUUUCAAGACCAACCCUCAGCUGGAGCUGAAAGAGAAGCCCCCAGUCCUUAUAAAAAACCCAGAGACCUGCCUCAGCCCGAGACCAUCCUAAAAACAUCAUGGACCUCAAACACCUGGUCUUCCUGCUCUGCCUCACCAUCCCCAGCUCUGCAUGGAUUGUUCCCCAGCUGACUAAUAAUGUCUGGAAGACGUUGGCAUAAGCCCUUGGACAGGAUAAUAUCUGCCUGUCCACCUCCUCCACUGCUGACCCUUUCCUAUCCUGCCUUCCCUCAUUAUUUUUGGGAUUCUGAGACGGGUAGUGUCUGGCCUCAUCACAAAGGUGUUAACCAUCCACACCGCGAACCCAGCUGCCCUCUUCUCUGCCCAGGAGUCUGAUGGGGAUGAAGAAGACCAGCUAGUUCCAGAACCCGAAGAAGGACCCUGGAUGGAGAUGGCUCCCACCUGCCAGCCGUGGUUCGCUGACACCUAUCCGGACUCGGAAUUCCUACCGCGACCCGAAUUUAGUUCAUUUAAAAAAUACUUUAAAGGACUCUUUCUUCAGUUUUUCGUUUUGUUUAAAAUAAAGAAGGGGGAGUUGUUGGGUCGUGUUUUAAGUUCCCCCCAUGUUAUGGUUGUUCCCUCUUCCCCUCUUUAUGUUAAAUGGUCCAUCCCUCCUUCUCCUCCUCCCCCUCCGCCUGUCAGUCUUCCCUUUCCCCUCCCAUGUGAUGUAACUUUAUGCUGAGUCAUUUCCCUGACCCCACCCUGGGGCUUGUCUGUCACCCUGAGGCCUCUCCCUCCUUUCCAGAACCUUCCAGCUAAGGCCUCGGGUGAUGGGCUGAUCCCCGGGGACCCCUCCCUCCUUCUCACCUCACUGGACACCCCUCCUGAUUGUCAUUCCCUUCACCACUCCCAGGUGGUUCCCUAUUGGUUCACUAUUGUUCCCUCCCUGUGUUGCCACCCCCUGUUAUAUACCCAUGCAAGCUGUUCUCAGUUGCCUUUUGGGGCGUACCCGAUUCAAGUUGAGGUUAGUCUUGUGGACCAAUAAACUUGGAGCUGUGAUACCCCCAAAA